ACUUUCUGAAGUCCGGUUUAACUUAAAACCUCGGUCUAAGUCGAGUCUAACUUGCGCAAAAUUUAGACUCCGCCUAGGGGUAGUUUAAACCAUGGUUUAACUUUCAAAAUGGCUGAUCUGCUAGCUGCCUUGCGACGGGGAGAGCAAAUGCUCGAAUGGAAUCAAAGACAGAUCGAGAGGCCAUUGGUGGAAAGGAAAAACCCCUUUCAUAUUUAUGAGAACAACGAAUUUCUGCAGCGGUAUCGCUUCACGAAGCAAACUGCGUUACACAUUAUCGAGGAACUGACGCCAUCUUUGGAGAGACACACAAGUCGCACUAAUGCGGUGCCAGAGCACCUUCAAGUUCUCACCGCCAUGCGUUUUUACGCAGUUGGCAGUAUGCAAUCACAAUGGACUGCUAAUCAACCUUGUUGCCAGGUGGCCAGGAGGAACUCAUGAUUCCAAAAUAUUCAGAGAAUGCCAACUGAAAAAAAAUCUUGAACGAGAAAGUCAUGAAGAAAAAUGGCUUCUUGGCGACAGUGGGUGGAGGCUACAACCAAACUUUUCAGACAGACAUGAGAUACAAAGUUACACAAGUAUAAAUGGUUGAAGGUUUAGGAGAGCCAGACAAGAAGGCAGGAAAUGUGAUGUCACUUUUACUUCAAUGAACAUGGACAGCAGCAGGAGCAACAACAGCAUCAGCAGCCGAAACUACAACUGCAGUAAGAGAUGCAACAACCACACCGACAACAUCAACAGCAGCAGGAGCUCCAACAACCAUGCAGGGAACAUCGGGCGCAACAUAAAUAACUUCAUCAAGAGAUGCAACAACCACAGUGGUAAACAUCAACAGCAGUAGCAACAACGACAGUAGAAACAAAGCCAACAGCAAGGAUUCUAACAAGCAAUCAUACAAGCAACAACACAAGCGACAACAUCAAUAAAUGCAUCAGGAGAUGCAACAGCCACACUCGUAAACAGCAGCAGGAGCAGCGAUGACAACAGCAACCACACAGGCAACACCUUGAGCAACGUCAGUAGCAAAAAUAACUUAUUGCACCAGGAGAUGCAACAACCACACCCACAACACCAAGAGCAGCAAAAACAAACAGCAAUUCCAGCAACCACGAUAACCACAGCAGCAGCAACACCAACAACACUAAUGAACAUUGAAAAAACUUGUACAAAAGUCAAUGAGGUCGCAUUUUUCAGACAUUAUCAGACAUUGAUUAAAAAGUGCACAAUAAUUUAUUUGGGUUAAAGAAAAUUAUGUUUGAAAAAAUGUGUACAUUUGAAGAUGUUUACUAUGUAUUGAUUGAUAUAAUAUAGUUUUGAAGAUGAAAAUAUUA